CUUUGGGGGAGCUGGGACCUGGGCUCAGAGGUGAUCCCACCCCUGACAGCACCUGGCUUGGUGCUUGCCCCAGAAUGGGUCCUGCCUGCUCCCUUUCUCUCUCCUCCUCAGCCCCCUCCCCUCCUCCUGGUGUGGGGAAACUGUGUUCCGAGAGGCUGCAUGGAUGGUACUGUUGCCUAGACCCUGGAGGCGAAUGCCAGCCCCUUCCCUUAAGCCAUUUCUGAGCCGGCCGCAGAGGCACGAGGGAGCUGGGCAGAGGGAAGCAAGUUUGUUGACAAUGCAGGACUCCUCAGGGUCACCAGCCGGAAGGGUCUCUUGGCACACACUCCUCGCUCCCUGCAACGUGAAGCCAGUGUGGCAUCUACUGUGAGAACUCCUGCAGGUUUGUUUGAGCACAACCCUUCUGACAGGUGCCAGCCCCCCCUUGCGCUACCCCUCCCUCCCAGAAGCUGGCUGGACGCGAAGAUGGAGCAGGAGAGGAGUCAUUGGGAAGAUGGCUAUUUAUCAUUUCAGCGGCCCCUUUAAGCCUGGGCUCCAGGCCUGUUGCCAGGCGGGCUGGGUUUGAAGUUCUCAGCGCUAAUCCGGCCACAGGAAUCCUCCCACGUCAGGGUCCUGGGGUUGCUGCAGAGGCAGGGACUGGCCUGGCUGCAGAGCUCUCCCAGGGCUGGAGACAGCUGCAGGGCCACCCCCUCCCUGUCCCCAGCUCCCCACACUAGGCAAAUGUCACACACACCACACACACACACACACACACCUCUGUGCAACAAACCCACAAACUCAUCCCCACAAACACUGGGAGAGAACCCCAGGGCUCCCAACCCUGAGCCUGCAUGUCUGAGACCAGUGGGUCCCUAACCCAAGGCCUGGCCUGCCCAUGCCAGCCACUCUUCCUCUGCAGCAAGGAUUUCUCUAGAACUCCAUGGCUCUCCCCAAAGAUUCUAGACUCUAUGCUCCCUAUCCCCAGAGCUGCAGGACGCCCCAAGUGGGUUUAGAACCUGGACCCAUGAGGGGACUGACAGGAAGAAAGGGCAGGGAGGUAGAGGCAGGGGCUGUCAGAUCUUAGAGGAGGGGGCUUGCCCUGGCCCUCCACACUGGAGCUCAUCCUUGCUGGAAGGGUUCUGACUCCCCCAGGGUACAGAUGGGUAAGGUGAGGCUGGGAUCCCCCCUGCUGCUAGUGAGAGGAGUGGCUGGGAUUCGAACCACGUGUCUGGGGCCCAGGCUCUCGCACAUUCUUGCCCUGGCACCCAGGGCAUUUACAGCGUCCCGCCAUGUCUUCCCUAAUGCCGGUUUGGUGUUCCCCUGUGGUUUUUUGGGGUACGCAGGACGGCUUGCAUCUCCGCCUGGCACACUGUGGGGGCCCAGUUGCCAUUCCCUAACUGAUGGCACCCAUAGGAAAAUGGAGAAAAGAGAGCGGGGUUGAGCCUCGGGCCGGCUGUGCAGCCAGCAGCUCUCCCUAGGAGGCAGAGAUCAGGCUUUGGGGUAACUUGCACCUCAGGGGGGCUUCAGGGGCCGGAGGGCACGAGAGGGCUUAGAGGAGUCCCUGAAGACCAGUCUCCGAGACUCAGGGGACACCCCCCCAUGUCAGACUCAGGGAUGGGACCCUGAGGCCUGGAGUCCAGUCCCAGAACCAGCUGUGCCACCCUCGCCCAGGCCCACAAUCUCUUUGGGCCUCAGUGAAAAUAAAAGAGCCCUGUUCCCUAAUUCCCGGGAUCCUCCCAGGUGGAACCAUCGAGCAUUCUCAGCCUUUCGUCCGCCUCCAAACCCAUUUGGCACGCCAGCAACCUCACAAAGCUGUGCUGGGUGAGGCAGUCCGGGGCGUCCAGGAGCCCUUCUCUCUGGAGACUGAGUGCCCGGUCUCAGGGAGCCAGAGUGCAAAUGCCUCUCUCCCAGUGCCAGGCCCUCUGCCAGCGGCGGUAUCGAGCAUCUCAAAGUGGCCAUCGUUUAUACAGCACCUACCAUAGGCUUUCCCCCUGUUACCUUAAGUCUGUACGACAGCCUCAAGCAGCAGGUACCAUUAUUGUCCCCAUUCUACAGUUAAGAAAACUGAGGCACAAACCCGACCCAGUUCAUAGAGCUUGGCAAGCGUGAGCCCAGGCGAUCCUAGCCUUGGGAUGCUGCAGCUGCCUUGAUGGUUGUUAGAAAAGCCUUCAAAGGAGUUCCCGUUGUGGUGCUGUGGUUAAUGAAUCCGACUAGGAACCGUGAGGUUGCGGGUUCUAUCCCUGCUCUUGCUCAGUGGGUUAAUGAUCCGGCGUUGCUGUGAGCUGUGGUGUAGGUUGCAGAUGCGCUCGGAUCC
rnacentral:lncRNA from 1 species